AAGGUUCUAGCUUAAUGAAAGUACCUGGGUUGCAUUCAGGAGAUGUAGGUUAAUGUCCUACGAAUCUUA
rnacentral:tRNA from 1 species